CUCCUUGUAUUUAUGCUUCUAGCCUUAUCUUUACUUUUCUCAUUGGGCCUGUUAAGCCAAUACAAGAUGUCAUGAUUCUUGGUAAUGAAUAAAAAACAAUUACAGGAAAAGCUAACACAUCUCGUCCAAAAUGUUCACCAAAAUGUCCAAACUUUUCCUAUGCUUAGAAUCCAAUGUUUAAAUGUUCAGUUUUGUUUUAUGAACCAAAACAUACUUCUAUCGUGUGUAUUCAGCUUUUCAUUUUUUGAAAUGUCGUUGAACCAUUGUAAAAUUGAUUUAUUAGUCAUCAGUCCUAACCUACCAAAUUCCUUCUUCCAACGCAACACCAGGCAUGAUGUUUUUUGAAGGUUGUUUUUGGCAAUUCAUCAACUUCAGUAAAUGUUUGAACUUUUGAUCACUCCAAAAAUUCAAACUAUGUGUUUACUAAAGCUUGGGAGCUUCUGGAAAGUAGUAUGAUGAACUUUGCCAUAUCCUUUGGAAAGUAACUGCAUGCUGUUGGAAAAAUCUGUUUGAUAUAGGAGGUCAUAUUCAAACAAAGUUAUGAACUUUUCUUCUACUCUCUGUCUAUCAGCAUUGGUGGAUCACCGAACACCAUGAAUACUUUCGCUGCAUCUUCUUCUGAUUUCAGAAUUACCUUGCUUUGCUACCAAAAUAAUAUCAUGUAAUUUGAUCAUUCAAGCUCUAUCACGUGCCUCUGAUUUCAGUUGUAGUAAAGCUAGGUGAUUCUGGAAAGUGAUUUGCUUUUACCAAUUUUGUGAAGAUGCAGUACAGGGCCCUGCUCAUCAGUAUAUGUGUAGUUUGCUGCCAUGCAGGUUCCCAUAUAGGAGGGGCCAUGGUGCGGCGAUUCAAAGAUUUGAGCUGAUGGUCACACCUUGAAGAGAGGAUGCUCUGGAGUCUUCCAGAGUGGAAGAUCCCAACCUUUUGAUAUGAUGACCGGCAAAUAGAGAUUUAAGAGAGAAAAAAAAUAAAAAUAAAAAUAUAACAACAGUCCACAUUCAACAGAAAAGGUCAAAUGUCAAAGGUUUAAGGUUCCUGAUUUCGGAGGAUUCCCCAUCCAUGGUUGGUCCCAUCAGAUCAACCGUUUGGAUCAACAUACCGUGGGGCACAUGUUUACAGCAUCCAAUGCUAUCAUUUCGCUUCUGUGAAAACUGAGGUCUCCUAUUGAACUGGGAAAGGAAAUGCCUCUUGCUGAAAAUAUUAUAAACUAAAAUUUGACUUUGGGCAUGCUUACUGCGGUCUCUUUCAGCUGAAAUUCGGUCUGGGGGUCAGGAUAGAUCCUCAAUGCCAGCACAAAGCUAGCCAAGUAAGAAAAAACACUUCUAAUAAUAUUUUCUCAUGAUAGAAUUCCAGAUUUAGAAAAAGCACUUUUAAUAACAUUUUCUCAUGAAAGAGUUCCAGAUUCUCUCCCCACUGUAUUAGCAAAAUUUCAAUGGAUUAUUCAAUUUAUAGCUUGAAAGCACAACACUAGAAAGCUCACAGUAACAGGAUGGUAAUGUAAGUACAAGCCUUUAACUCCUAGUGCCAAUAUUCUGAGCUUUUCAUCAAUAUUCCAUCAGGCAUGACAAUGCAUCGUUCACUCACCAGUUUUGGAAUGUUUUUGGUGUUACUUUUCCCCUGGACCCAAGACUAGGUAAAGAUUUCACAGUAAUGCUACUAUGCCAAUGAGUGGUGUUAAAACACUGAUUAUUUAUUUAACAUUGCUUACCAUAUUUAUUUUUUCAACGUUACUAGAUAUCUUCACCCAAAAAGAUUGAUAACUUUUUUUUUUUGAAAGAUGACUAUAUUUUAUUGAAGAAGCAUAGGUGAGAAAUUGACAUGAAAAAAAUACAAAGAAAAGCAAAGGAAACAAAAUGAUCAUAAAGAGGGGCGCUUUAGAAGGGAGGUCCACCCUAAUACAUCCCAACUUAGCCCUGCUGGAAACCGCUGAUGUGUCUCUGAUGUGUUUCUUGAAGGUCCCAUCAUUUCUCUCCAAAUAACCUUCAACCUGCCUAAGAGGGAAAGUCUCCACAGGUUUCUCCCGAUCUUACCAACGUCUCACUGUCCCACGCUAGGAGGAAAGCCUUGAUUGACUCCAGCAUCACCUAACAGCUUUGGAGCAAUCUGAAAAAAAAUGCUGCCAACUGUUUUCGCGAAGGCAUAAUAUAGGAACAAAUGGUUGACAGAUUCGACAUGCUGCCAACACAUGACACAUAUAUUAGGAAUUAACAUUUACCUUCUUUGGAGAUUAUCUACAGUAAGGAUGUUCUUUUCUUCCCACUAGCCAUGCAAAAGCCCCCACCUUUGGUGGUCUCCUGUAUGGCCCGACAAACUUGCUCAACACACUGUCAGAAUGGGGUCUGGGGCAGCAUAUCGCCUCAUAAGGUGAAUGCAUUGAGGAUCUGCCUGAGCUUUCCCCUUUCCACUUCCACCCAUUCCUGUCCUUCGGGAGCCUCUGGUGGUAGAGGACAGGGCAGUUGGAUCAUGUCCUCCAAUUUCUCCCCACAUUGAUUCUGACAGCAGGGAGGGCACAACACCAGCUGACCACCCAUAGAAGAAAUGACAAUGAUCUACCAAGACAUCCAGAUUUACCCUAGCCAAUCUAGGGAAAACAUCACAGAGAGGCCUAUAUACGCACACCAACUAUCGACCUAAAAGCCGAUAUGCAAGCUGUCUCCUAGGGAAAAGGCUACACCUUCCUUGAACCUGGUAACCAACUUUGCAAUGCCCUUUCAUUUUAUUGAAGCUUUGUACAGGGAUGACUCUGCAGCAAACCACCCUCCAGCCCUGAUACCAUAUUCGCAUGAAACAAUAUCUGUCCACAAACUAUCAUUUUCUGAGCCAAACCUCCAACGUCAUUUGCCCAAUAGGGCUAUGUUCAUGGAUCUUAGCUCUUUGAUUCCAGCUCCUUCUCGAGUCAGCUUGCAAAUCUCUUCCCAUUUCAACGGAUGGAACUUCUGCUUGUUGUCAACACCUUGCCACAAAAAAAUCACGAGUUCUUUCCAAUUUGUCCAAGAUGGAGUUGGAUAAUGAAAUAAGGACAUUAAGUAGAGCGGCAUGUUAGACAUGUCUCUCAUAAUGAGAGUUAAUCUUCUGUCCAAAGAUAAAUGUUGACUUUUCCACAGAGUCAACUCUCUCCAUCCUUCAAUUCCUUUGUCCCAAAGAUGCUUUGCUAGCUUGCCAAUGCAUAUUGGGAGGCCCAAAUAUGUGGAUGGAAGGUAACUCUACAACCAAAAACUUCUGCCAUCAAUUUCGCUUCCUCAUUUAAUGCUCUAAUGCUCAGAAUUUCACUCCUGUGAAUAUUUACUUUUAGCCUCGACACUACUUAAAAGCACUUGAUAAUUUUCCGCAAGUUGUCAACCUGCUCCACCACUGCAUCAUAAAACAGAAUAGUGUCAUCUGCAAACUUAAGGUAGGGAACUUGGAAUGAAGCAUUCUUCACAUUGAACCCUUUAACGAGACUCACCAUCACCUAUCUUUCUAACAUCUUAGCAUUUCUGCUACCACCACCAACAGAAAGGUGAUAGAGGACCUUGCCUGAGACUUCCUGAUGCUUUCAAGAAGCCUUUGGGUGACCUGUUAAAUAUCAUAGAGAAUUUGGCCGAGCUUACACAACCCAUCAUCCAACUCCGCCACUUCUCCACAGAACCCAACCGGUCUAGCAUGUAGUUGAGGAACUUCCAGUCCAUAUAAUCAUUUGCUUUCUCCAUAUCUAGCUAACAAAUGAUGCCUUUCUUGCCUUCCCUCUACUGAAAAUCUACACAUUUGUGCCCAAUCAAAGCUCCAUCUAGAAUACAAAAGCUCCCUAUGCCUUCAAGACAACAUCACCAAAGCUUUACAAAAUCUUGAUGCCAAGAUUUUCGUGAGAAUCUCAUAAGGGCUUCUAUUUUGGCUUAUAGGCCUAAAGUCCAUUGGGCAUUUUGCCGCUUCUUUCAGAACAAGGAUGAUGACUGACACACUCAAAUCUGAUGUUAGAUGCCUUCUUUCGACAAAUUCCUAAACGAAGACCAUCAGUUCAUCCUUAACCACCAUCUAGAAUAUAUGAUAGAAUGCAAUAGGGAACUUGCAUGCUUGGGAGACUUGUCCCUACCAAUGUUUUAAAUAUCGACAAUAGCGGCCGAUAUAUCCAAUGAUAUAUCUUGUAUCCUACCUGCGCAAUACGAAACACACAGGUAGUGCUGAUAUAUCCCACAUGUUCGAGCCCGUGAGCAUUUUCAAUUUCCAAUCUUUUUUAUUUGGUUGAAAUUAUGUUAAAUAAGUGUCAAAUGGUUAUAAAUCCAUUGGUUUUUCAUGUUUUGUAUGAAAAAUCAUGGAGUUGGAGCUUUGAUUUUGAUAUCCAUUGGUUCUUCAUGUUCUUUUUGAAAUUUUCCUUUAAUCAGCUAUCAAUUGAGACUAAGUUCGAAUUAUUUUGGAGUAUUUGAUGAAAUGAUCAUCACAUACACUCUAAUUUCGAAAUUUGAGUAUAGGUGGUCUGAUUUGGCAAAAUUGGGAAAAUUUUGAAAAUUUCCCAAUUUCUCCCAACUUGCUUGCAAUGUUGCACUCUAAACAUGAGAUCAACCAUGUAUAAGGGCUGAUCUACUGAUUUGUUAAGGCCUUGUCAAUUUUUGAAAAAUAAAAAUUAUUUUAAUUAAAAAUUA